UGCCAGCAGCCGCGGUAAGACGGAGGGUGCUAACGUUGUUCGGAAUCACUGGGCAUAAAGCGCACGUAGGCGGUUCACUAAGUCUCACGUGAAAGCCCCCGGCUCAACCGGGGAAUUGCGUGGGAUACUGGUGGACUUGAGGUCGGUUGGGGUGAGUGGAACUCCUGGUGGAGCGGUGAAAUGCGUAGAUAUCAGGAGGAACACCAGUGGCGAAGGCGACUUCCUGGGCCAAUACUGACGCUGAGGUGCGAAAGCGUGGGGAGCAAACAGGAUUAGAUA
rnacentral:rRNA from 1 species